rnacentral:lncRNA from 1 species
GACUAUUCCCUUUUUGGAUCUCCUAUCUGCUGCAUGGAACAGGUCUCUGGUUGCAGGUGCACAAGAAGUUGGCAAAUGACAAACAGAAAUGACAGACACAAAAGGGCUCAGAGCUACAAGUUUACAUUGAAUCUCACAGUGGAACUUACACAUAAACUUUUGAAUGGUCAUGAGAGUUUGACAACUGUGUCAAUGCUUGGAGAUGGGGCACAUCAAUGAAAGUAUUGAACAUCCACAGGAGAUUCCCAGGCUGAAACAGGCUGAUCAAGACUUUGACCUUGCUGCCACUAAGAAGGAGACCACCUGGGGUGGAGCCUUCCUGCCUAGAUGGCUCUAUUGUUCUGCCACCUGCCACUGCUCCUCCAAGACACUGCUACCUACUGAGAGGCCCCUGAGAUAUUCUGGAGACUACACUCUAUCCUGCAGUCUUCACCUGAAGCUGGUUCCAGGCACCAAGAAUGGAUUAGCAGGGGAUGGGCCUCCCCCUCCACAGCCCCUUUAUAAGCACAGAUUGCUAUUAAACAUUGGAGCCUUG